GCAAGUCGAGGGGUAACAGGGAGUGCUUGCACUCUGCUGACGACCGGCGCACGCGUGCGUAACGCGUAUGCAACCUACCUUCUACAGGGGGAUAGCCCAGAGAAAUUUGGAAUAAUACCCCAUACGAUCUUUACUUGGCAUCGAGUAGAGAAGAAAACUUUUUGUGGUAGAAGAUGGGCAUGCGUCCUAUUAGUUAGUUGGUGAGGUAACGGCUCACCAAGACUUCGAUAGGUAGGGGCCCUGAGAGGGGGAUCCCCCACACUGGUACUGAGACACGGACCAGACUCCUACGGGAGGCAGCAGUGAGGAAUAUUGGACAAUGGGGGCAACCCUGAUCCAGCCAUGCCGCGUGCAGGAAGACUGCCCUAUGGGUUGUAAACUGCUUUUAUACAGGAAGAAACUGUGCUACGUGUAGUGCACUGACGGUACUGUAAGAAUAAGGAUCGGCUAACUCCGUGCCAGCAGCCGCGGUAAUACGGAGGAUCCAAGCGUUAUCCGGAAUCAUUGGGUUUAAAGGGUCCGUAGGUGGUCCAUUAAGUCAGAGGUGAAAGCCUAUCGCUCAACGAUAGAACUGCCUUUGAUACUGAUGGACUUGAGUUAUUGUGAAGUAGUUAGAAUAUGUAGUGUAGCGGUGAAAUGCAUAGAUAUUACAUAGAAUACCGAUUGCGAAGGCAGAUUACUAACAAUAUACUGACACUGAGGGACGAAAGCGUGGGUAGCGAACAGGAUUAGAUACCCUGGUAGUCCACGCCGUAAACGAUGGUCACU
rnacentral:rRNA from 1 species